rnacentral:rRNA from 1 species
ACUACGGGUGGCUGCAGUGGGGAAUAUUGGGCAAUGGGCGCAAGCCUGACCCAGCAACGCCGCGUGAAGGAAGAAGGCUUUCGGGUUGUAAACUUCUUUUCUCAGGGACGAAGAAAGUGACGGUACCUGAGGAAUAAGCCACGGCUAACUACGUGCCAGCAGCCGCGGUAAUACGUAGGUGGCAAGCGUUAUCCGGAUUUAUUGGGUGUAAAGGGCGUGUAGGCGGGAGCGCAAGUCAGAUGUGAAAACUCAGGGCUCAACCCUGAGCCUGCAUUUGAAACUGUGUUUCUUGAGUGCUGGAGAGGCAAUCGGAAUUCCGUGUGUAGCGGUGAAAUGCGUAGAUAUACGGAGGAACACCAGUGGCGAAGGCGGAUUGCUGGACAGUAACUGACGCUGAGGCGCGAAAGCGUGGGGAGCAAACAGGAUUAGAUACCCGUGUAGUC